UAUUUACUUAUUUAGGAAACAAAAUACAAAACUAAAUACAAAGUAAAACAAUGAAUAUUUUGGAAACGAACUAUUACCCAAUCAACAUUAUACACACUUAAAUAGACUCGAAUAGAAAAAUACCGAAGAAAAAAAUUGUUUUACAACAAAAUUCAACUUGUAUUUAGCCGGCCAUGAUGCUAUCAAAAAUAAUGGAAUCUUCCAUUUUUAAAUAAAGAUAUGUACUUUAGUCAUUUUAAUUAACAAGUCAAAUUACAACAAAAUUCAACUUGUAUUUAGCCGGCCAUGAUGCUAUCAAAAAUAAUGGAAUCUUCCAUUUUUAAAUAAAGAUAUGUACUUUAGUCAUUUUAAUUAACAAGUCAACAAUAGAAC
rnacentral:lncRNA from 1 species